UACGGGGGGAGCAAGCGUUGUUCGGAUUUACUGGGCGUAAAGGGCGCGUAGGCGGUCAGCACAAGUCAAUUGUGAAAUCUCCGAGCUUAACUCGGAAAGGUCAACUGAAACUGUGCGACUAGAGUGCGGAAGGGGCAACUGGAAUUCUUGGUGUAGCGGUGAAAUGCGUAGAUAUCAAGAGGAACACCUGAGGUGAAGACGGGUUGCUGGGCCAACACUGACGCUGAUGCGCGAAAGCCAGGGGAGCAAACGGG
rnacentral:rRNA from 1 species